rnacentral:rRNA from 1 species
GACGAACGCUGGCGGCGUGCUUAACACAUGCAAGUCGAACGGAAAGGCCCUGCUUUUGUGGGGUGCUCGAGUGGCGAACGGGUGAGUAACACGUGAGUAACCUGCCCUUGACUUUGGGAUAACUUCAGGAAACUGGGGCUAAUACCGGAUAGGAGCUCCUGCUGCAUGGUGGGGGUUGGAAAGUUUCGGCGGUUGGGGAUGGACUCGCGGCUUAUCAGCUUGUUGGUGGGGUAGUGGCUUACCAAGGCUUUGACGGGUAGCCGGCCUGAGAGGGUGACCGGCCACAUUGGGACUGAGAUACGGCCCAGACUCCUACGGGAGGCAGCAGUGGGGAAUAUUGCACAAUGGGCGGAAGCCUGAUGCAGCAACGCCGCGUGCGGGAUGACGGCCUUCGGGUUGUAAACCGCUUUCGCCUGUGACGAAGCGUGUGUGACGGUAAUGGAUAAAGAAGCACCGGCUAACUACGUG